UGCUCACUGCAGCAGCACUAUACUAAAAUUUGAAUGAUUCAGCAAAGAUUAGCAUGGACCCUACUUAAGGAUGACACGUAAAUUUGUGAAAUAUUCCAUUUUUUG